GGCAUAGGCAAUCUCGGCCAGCCAGAUGUUUUGGGACUACAACUCCCAUGAUCCAAGACAACAGGACACUAGUCCUGGUCAGGGAUGAUGGGUAUUGUAGUCCCAAAACAUUUGGUGGGCCGAGAUUGCCUAUGCC